UUCGCCCUUAGAGUUUGAUCCUGGCUCAGGAUGAACGCUGGCGGCGUGCCUAAUACAUGCAAGUCGAACGAAGCGAUUUGGGAAAUUUAUUUUUCAGAUUGACUGAGUGGCGAACGGGUGAGUAAGACAUAAGUAGUCUGCCGUAAAGACUGGGAUAACUUUGAGAAAUUAAAGCUAAGACCGGAUAGGAAUUAUUGAGGCAUCUUAAUAAUUUUAAAGGGGCUUAUGGCCUUGUUAUACGAUGAGCUUAUGGCGCAUUAGCUAGUUGGUAAGGUGACGGCUUACCAAGGCGACGAUCAGUAGCCGACCUGAGAGGGUGAUCGGCCACAUUGGAACUGAGACACGGUCCAAACUCCUACGGGAGGCAGCAGUGGGGAAUAUUGCACAAUGGGCGAAAGCCUGAUGCAGCAACGCCGCGUGAGCGAUGAAGGCCUUCGGGUCGUAAAGCUCUGUCCUCAAGGAAGAUAAUGACGGUACUUGAGGAGGAAGCCCCGGCUAACUACGUGCCAGCAGCCGCGGUAAUACGUAGGGGGCUAGCGUUAUCCGGAUUUACUGGGCGUAAAGGGUGCGUAGGUGGUUUCUUAAGUCAGGAGUGAAAGGCUACGGCUCAACCGUAGUAAGCUCUUGAAACUGGGAAACUUGAGUGCAGGAGAGGAAAGUGGAAUUCCUAGUGUAGCGGUGAAAUGCGUAGAUAUUAGGAGGAACACCAGUAGCGAAGGCGGCUUUCUGGACUGUAACUGACACUGAGGCACGAAAGCGUGGGGAGCAAACAGGAUUAGAUACCCUGGUAGUCCACGCCGUAAACGAUGAGUACUAGGUGUCGGGGGUUACCCCCCUCGGUGCCGCAGCUAACGCAUUAAGUACUCCGCCUGGGGAGUACGCUCGCAAGAGUGAAACUCAAAGGAAUAGACGGGGACCCGCACAAGUAGCGGAGCAUGUGGUUUAAUUUGAAGCAACGCGAAGAACCUUACCUAAGCUUGACAUCCUUUUGACCGAUGCCUAAUCGCAUCUUUCCCUUCGGGGACAGAAGUGACAGGUGGUGCAUGGUUGUCGUCAGCUCGUGUCGUGAGAUGUUGGGUUAAGUCCCGCAACGAGCGCAACCCUUGCCUUUAGUUGCCAGCGUUAAGUUGGGCACUCUAGAGGGACUGCCAGGGAUAACCUGGAGGAAGGUGGGGAGGACGUCAAAUCAUCAUGCCCCUUAUGCUUAGGGCUACACACGUGCUACAAUGGGUGGUACAGAGGGCAGCCAAGUCGUGAGGCCGAGCUAAUCCCUUAAAGCCAUUCUCAGUUCGGAUUGUAGGCUGAAACUCGCCUACAUGAAGCUGGAGUUACUAGUAAUCGCAGAUCAGAAUGCUGCGGUGAAUAAGUUCCCGGGUCUUGUACUCACCGCCCGUCA
rnacentral:rRNA from 1 species